CAAUGUUGCAAACGGGUAAUUGGCAAUUCAUGUAGUGUGUUCUUUGUCCUCUGUGUGGCCGUCAUUCGGGAGACGAACACGUGGCGGCGGCCAUUUUAAACAUCCCCGAACAGUGGUGUUUUGCCGUCGAGUGUCUGGAACCCAAAUCGGACACUCUGUUAGGCAAACACCGGUGAGAACUCCACACUGCCGCCAAUUCGUGUAAAAACUACCGAACGGCUUCCCGUUCGGUAGAAAGAACCCCACGAACAAGGGGAUUUACCCGAAUCCUCCCCAGCUCUCAUAACCCAAGCCAUUCGUGUGUUUCCUUCCCUUUUCUGUGACCGACCGCAGGGCCUAAAUACAUGGAACCCUUUUCGGCUGUUAACCCCAGCACGGUCUGUCUUUUUAGUACCUCCGGGAAUUUCCCGAACCCCUGGUCCGAUCUGGGUGAUUUCUGGAUAUGCGUCUCACCCAGAUCAGGGCUACCAGGGGAUGUAAUAUUUAAAGGGGUACUCCUAGGUUUAGGGGUACAUCCAGAAAACAAGGGGAACUGUGUCCUGCAUAAUAGGAUUAUGUGUCACACUAAGGGGAGGUGAUGUGUGGGUGGCAACUCGUGUAUGAUUGGUG